rnacentral:rRNA from 1 species
CCUACGGGAGGCAGCAGUCGAGAAUCAUUCACAAUGGGGGAAACCCUGAUGGUGCGACGCCGCGUGGGGGAAUAAAGUUCUUCGAAUUGUAAACCCCUGUCAUGUAGGAGCAAAUUAAGAAGAUAAUCCCACAAGAGGAGGCGACGGCUAACUCUGUGCCAGCAGCCGCGGGAAUACAGAGGUCUCAAGAGUUGUUCGGAAUCACUGGGCGUAAAGCGUGCGUAGGCUGUUUCGUAAGUCGUGUGUGAAAGGCGAGGGCUCAACCCGCGGACGGCACAUGAUACUGCGAGACUAGAGUAAUGGAGGGGGAAGCGGAAUUCUUGGUGUAGGAGUGAAAUGCGUAGAUAUCGAGAGGAACACUCGUGGCGAAGGCGGGUUCCUGGAAAUUAACUGACGCUGAGGCACGAAGGCCAGGGGAGCGAAAGGGAUUAGAUACCCCAGUAGUC